rnacentral:rRNA from 1 species
AUUGAACGCUGGCGGCAGGCCUAACACAUGCAAGUCGAGCGAGCGGCGGACGGGUGAGUAAUGUCUGGGAAACUGCCUGAUGGAGGGGGAUAACUACUGGAAACGGUAGCUAAUACCGCAUACCAUCAGAUGUGCCCAGAUGGGAUUAGCUGGUAGGGGGGGUAACGGCUCACCUAGGCGACGAUCCCUAGCUGGUCUGAGAGGAUGACCAGCAACACUGGAACUGAGACACGGUCCAGACCACUACGGGAGGAAGCAGUGGGGAAUAUUGCACAAUGGGGGCAAGCCUGAGGCAGCAAUGCCGCGUGUGUGAAGAAGGCUUUCGGGUUGUAAAGCACUUUCAGCGGGGAGGCGUUACCCGAAGAAGAAGCACCGGCUAACUCCGUGCCAGCAGCCGCGGUAAUUC